GAUGAACGCUGGCGGCGUGCCUAAUACAUGCAAGUCGAGCGGACGGACGCUAAGCUUGCUUCUCUGAUGUUAGCGGCGGACGGGUGAGUAACACGUGGAUAACCUACUUAUAAUACUGGGAUAACUUCGGGAAACCGGAGCUAAUACCGGAUAAUAUUUUGCACCGCAUGGUUCAAAAGUGAAAGACGGUCUUGCUGUCACUUAUAGAUGGAUCCGCGCUGCAUUAGCUAGUUGUUAGGGUAACGGCUUAGCAAGGCAACGAUGCAUAGCCGACGUGACUGGGGGGUAGGCCGCCUGGGAACUGGAACGCGGACCAGAGUCCUACGGGAGGCAGCAGUAGGGAAUGGGACGCAAUAGGCGGAAGCCUGACGGAGCGGGGCGGCGUGAGUGAUGAAAAUCUUCGGAGCGUGAUACUGUCUUAUUGGGGAAGAACAUAUGUGUCAGGAAAUGUGCAGAUAGUGACGGUAAUGAGUCAGGAAGCCACGGCUAACUACGUG
rnacentral:rRNA from 1 species